UCGGGAAUAUUGGACAAUGGGCGAAAGCCUGAUCCAGCAAUGCCGCGUGAGUGAUGAAGGUCUUAGGAUUGUAAAGCUCUUUUGACGAGGAAGAUAAUGACGGUACUCGUAGAAUAAGCACCGGCUAAUUUCGUGCCAGCAGCCGCGGUAAUACGAAAGGUGCUAGCGUUACUCGGAUUUACUGGGCGUAAAGAGCGUGUAGGUGGAUUGAUAAGUUAGCUGUUAAAAACCCGAGCUCAACUCGGGGUCUGCAGUUAAAACUGUUAAUCUUGAAUGUGGUAGGAGAUAGUGGAAUUUCUUGUGUAGGGGUAAAAUCCGUAGAUAUAAGAAGGAACACCAAAGGCGAAAGCAACUGUCUAGGCCAUUAUUGACACUGAGACGCGAAAGCGUGGGGAGCAAA
rnacentral:rRNA from 1 species